CGUCGAAGACUACGACGUUGAUAGGUUGGGUGUGUAAGCGCUGUGAGGCGUUGAGCUAACCAAUACUAAUUGCCCGUGAGGCUUGACCAUAUAACACCCAAGCAAUU
rnacentral:rRNA from 7 species